rnacentral:rRNA from 1 species
AGUGUUUGAUCGCCGACUAAUGUCUGGGAAACUGCCUGAUGGUCCGGGUAACUACUGGAAACGGGGCUAAUACCGCAUAACGUCGCAAGACCAAAGAGGGGGACCUUCGGGCCUCUUGUAUCGGAUGUGCCCAGAUGGAAUUAGCUAGUAGGUGCGGAAACGGCUCACCUAGGCGACGAUCCCUAGCUGGUCUGAGAGGAUGACCAGCCACACUGCAACUGAUACACGGUCCAGAUUCCUACGGGAGGCAGCAGUGGGGAAUAUUGCACAAUGGGCGCAAGCCUGAUUAGGCAUGCCGGUCAAUGAAGAAGGCCUUAACCUUUACGGUAUUUUCAGCGCUGAGGAAGGCGAUAAGGUUAAUAACCUUGUCGAUUGACGUUACCUGCAUAAGAAGCACCGGCUAACUCCGUGCCAGCAGCCGCAGUAAUACGGAGGGUGCAAGCGUUAAUCGUAACUCCUGGGCAGAAAGCGCACGCAUGCGCUCUGACAAGCCGGAUGUGAAAUCCCUGGGGCUCAACCUUGGAACUGCAUUCGGCUCUGCCAGUCUAGAGUCUUGGAGAGGGGGGAGAGAAUUCCGGCCCUCUCGGUGAAAUGCGUAGAGAUCUGGGAGGAUACCGGUGGCGAA